GAGCACGCGCGUGAGUGAUGAAGUUUCGGAUCGUAAAGCUCUGUUGUUAGGGAGACAGUGCCGUCAAAUAGGGCGGCACCUUGACGGUACUAACCAGAAAGCCACGGCUAACUACGUGCCAGCAGCCGCGGUAAUACGUAGGUGGCAAGCGUUGUCCGGAAUUAUUGGGCGUAAAGGGCUCGCAGGCGGUUUCUUAAGUCUGAUGUGAAAGCCCCCGGCUCAACCGGGGAGGGUCAUUGGAAACUGGGGAACUUGAGUGCAGAAGAGGAGAGUGGAAUUCCACGUGUAGCGGUGAAAUGCGUAGAGAUGUGGAGGAACACCAGUGGCGAAGGCGACUCUCUGGUCUGUAACUGACGCUGAGGAGCGAAAGCGUGGGGAGCGAACAGGAUUAGAUACCCUGGUAGUCCACGCCGUAAACGAUGAGUGCUAAGUGUUAGGGGGUUUCCGCCCCUUAGUGCUGCAGCUAACGCAUUAAGCACUCCGCCUGGGGAGUACGGUCGCAAGACUGAAACUCAAAGGAAUUGACGGGGGCCCGCACAAGCGGUGGAGCAUGUGGUUUAAUUCGAAGCAACGCGAAGAACCUUACCAGGUCUUGACAUCCUCUGACAAUCCUAGAGAUAGGACGUCCCCUUCGGGGGCAGAGUGACAGGUGGUGCAUGGUUGUCGUCAGCUCGUGUCGUGAGAUGUUGGGUUAAGUCCCGCAACGAGCGCAACCCUUGAUCUUAGUUGCCAGCAUUCAGUUGGGCACUCUAAGGUGACUGCCGGUGACAAACCGGAGGAAGGUGGGGAUGACGUCAAAUCAUCAUGCCCCUUAUGACCUGGGCUACACACGUGCUACAAUGGACAGAACAAAGGGCAGCGAAACCGCGAGGUUAAGCCAAUCCCACAAAUCUGUUCUCAGUUCGGAUCGCAGUCUGCAACUCGACUGCGUGAAGCUGGAAUCGCUAGUAAUCGCGGAUCAGCAUGCCGCGGUGAAUACGUUCCCGGGCCUUGUACACACCGCCCGUCACACCACGAGAGUUUGUAACACCCGAAGUCGGUGAGGUAACCUUUAUGGAGCCAGCCGCCGAAGGUGACAGAG
rnacentral:rRNA from 1 species